rnacentral:miRNA from 1 species
UUCUCGAGAAAGUGCAUGAAC